rnacentral:rRNA from 1 species
CACGUAGGGCGCAAGCGUUGUCCAGAAUUAUUUGGGCGUAAAGAGCUCGUAGGCGGUCUGUUGCGUCCGCUGUGAAAACUCGGGGCUUAACCCCGAGCCUGCAGUGGAUACGGGCAGACUAGAGGUAGGUAGGGGAGAAUGGAAUUCCCGGUGUAGCGGUGAAAUGCGCAGAUAUCGGGAGGAACACCGGUGGCGAAGGCGGUUCUCUGGGCCUG